GAUGAACGCUGGCGGCGUGCCUAAUACAUGCAAGUCGAGCGAACGGACGAGAAGCUUGCUCCUCUGAUGUUAGCGGCGGACGGGUGAGUCACACGUGGAUAACCUACCUAUAAGACUGGGAUAACUUCGGGAAACCGUAGCUAAUACCGGAUAAUAUUUUGAACCGCAUGGUUCAAAAGUUAAAGACGGUCUUGCUGUCACUUAUAGAUGGAUCCGCGCUGCAUUAGCUAGUUGGUAAGGUAACGGCUUACCAAGGCAACGAUGCAUAGCCGACCUGAGAGGGAGGUCCGACACACUGGAACUGAGAAACGGUCCAGACUCCUACAGGAGGCAGCAGUAGGGAAUCUUACGCAAUGGGCGAAAGCCUGACGGAGCAACGCCGCGUGAGUGAUGAAGGUCUUCGGAUCGUAAAACUCUGUUAUUAGGGAAGAACAUAUGUGUAAGUAACUGUGCACAUCUUGACGGUACCUAAUCAGAAAGCCACGGCUAACUACGUG
rnacentral:rRNA from 1 species